rnacentral:tRNA from 2 species
GCCGAUGUAGCUCAGUGGUAGAGCGCUUCCUUGGUAAGGAAGAGGUCAUGAGUUCAAUCCUCAUCAUUGGCU